AGAGCGAACGCUGGCGGCAGGCCUAACACAUGCAAGUCGAGCGCCGUAGCAAUACGGAGCGGCAGACGGGAGAGUAACACGUGGGAACGUACCCUUCAGUUCGGAACAACCCAGGGAAACUUGGGCUAAUACCGAAUACGUCCGUAAGGAGAAAGAUUUAUCGCUGAAGGAUCGGCCCGCGUCUGAUUAGCUUGUUGGUGAGGUAAUGGCUCACCAAGGCUACGAUCAGUAGCUGGUCUGAGAGGAUGAUCAGCCUCACUGGGACUGAGACACGGCCCAGACUCCUACGGGAGGCAGCAGUGGGGAAUAUUGGACAAUGGGCGCAAGCCUGAUCCAGCCAUGCCGCGUGGGUGAUGAAGGCCCUAGGGUUGUAAAGCCCUUUCGGCGGGAAGAUAAUGACGGUACCCGCAGAAGAAGCCCGGCUAACUUCGCGCCAGCAGCCGC
rnacentral:rRNA from 1 species